UUGUAGGCCCGUAAUAAAGCUCUCCUGUUAAAUCAGUAUUACAGAUGCCACAGAAGGAUGUCAAAGGCCUUGUGUGCACCAUAUACCCAAUGCUACAGGGGCAUAGCUGUAAUUGAAAGGGCUGGGGGGAGACAAAUGUCCCUGUGACCCUGAGGAAGGGGAACCCUCUGGCUUGCUCUCCCCUUCACACCUCACUGAAGAAGGCAGGGGGGGCAGGAGUCCACUUUCUGUUCCAGGCCCCACAGCAACUUUUCUAGCCCCCUUACUCCAGAAAUAUUCUUUAAGAUAGUUUCAUAUGUUGUGAGGCCUCAGCAUGUACAGUAGUUGGAUAUGCACUAGUUGCAUGCACCUGGGUGGUGUUAAAAGAGCAGCCAGUGCAAAGGGCCAGAACAAAAAAUGGAAUGAGAUCCCUUGUCACAGUUGAGCCAUGGAAGCAGCUCACUAGCCAGGCCGCCUCAGCUAUCUUAAAAAUGUUCCCCACAUGCAGACCUUCUUCAAGGUCUAAUCCGGGGAGGCAGUGAUGCAGGAUGCCCAAAGCAAAGAGAGAACCAAAUGAAUGGAAGCUGUUUGAUCUCAUUUAUAUCUCAUUCCAAGGAAGGCUACAGCAAAAGUUCAUUAGAAUCAAGGUGCUGUCCAUGACUGCUGAAGAAGAGUAGGCAGCAAGAAGGAGGGCCGACCUUGUGGAUGGUAGGGUGGAGAAGAAGUAAGGUCAUAUGAGAGUCCUACUUUGCAGAACCUUUUGCAAAUUGUGUGUGCUGGAGGAGCGAGACAAGAAGAGGGCAACCAGGCUCUCCCAACACGCCACAUCCCAGAGUGCUCUCUGAGGGAAAUGAUAUCCACAGGCAGCCAGACUUUGCUGAAAAUGGCACAACUUGUCUAGGCCUGGACAUUCUUGUACAGAGCAAUUCUUGUACAUGCGUAAAC